UGGGGAAUAUUGGGCAAUGGGCGAAAGCCUGACCCAGCGACGCCGCGUGGGCGAUGAAGGCCUUCGGGUUGUAAAGCCCUGUCAUGCGGAAAGAACGACCCUGUGACGCAUACUCACAGGGAGUGACGGUACCGCAGGAGGAAGCACCGGCUAACUCCGUGCCAGCAGCCGCGGUAAUACGGAGGGUGCAAGCGUUGUUCGGAAUUAUUGGGCGUAAAGGGCGCGUAGGCGGUAAUGUAAGUCAGAUGUGAAAUACUUCGGCUCAACUGAAGAACUGCAUCUGAAACUGCAUAACUAGAGUACAGAAGAGGGAAACGGAAUUCCCGGUGUAGAGGUGAAAUUCGUAGAUAUCGGGAGGAACACCAGUGGCGAAGGCGGUUUCCUGGUCUGAUACUGACGCUGAGGCGCGAAAGUGUGGGGAGCAAACA
rnacentral:rRNA from 1 species